UCCGGACCACUUCCGGCUGGAAGAGGAGCUCAUAGCCUUUGGCUGGAGUUGUUCUUUUAGGAAAAUCCACUGUAUCUGCACCAGGGUCUUCAGGGAGCUUUUUACCUUUGCCCUUCUUGGCACCGAAGCAGCUUGCAGCGUGGGGCCCAGCGUUGUUGGUGGUGGCCAGAGGAGUCUCCUGGUAGCGCUCAGCAUGGGGGAUCUCACGAUGGACUUGGUAACACAAGUUUCUCAGCAGGCACACACAAUUCUCCACCAGCUUGCUAUCUGAGUCCUUCUGGCCGAUCUCAGACUGAAUGAUGUAUAUCAGGGCAUCCACCAGCCCAUCACAUUCUCGCAGCUUCCGACGGGCUUCACUCCGCUCUGAGCUCACAUUCCUAAGGCAGCCAGCAGUGUUGGUGA
rnacentral:lncRNA from 1 species